rnacentral:lncRNA from 1 species
UCCCCAAAACGCUGCAAAGCUGGGGGGCGCAUCCUGGAGAAUGGAAAUCUGGGGUUUCCCCAGCUAGGAGAGAGAAGGCUCCGGCUAUCUCCCCACCCCCGCCCUAAGUGUCAAAUUUCCUCCAGGGGAGGGAAGAAAUUGAUAACAGAUUCGGCGGAUUACAGCGGAUCUCUUUGUUAGAGCCGAAGCCACACAAACCGAACCCACUCCCAGCCCGAAGCCCCCAGGGAGAGUCCACCAGUUCCCAGAGCCCAGGCCAACUGAGAGCGGG